UGUUUUUAAGAUAAGGGUUUCACUGUUGUAAUCUAGGAAAAAAGCUGCUGUACAACAGUGAAGUCUUUUUUUUUUUUUUUGCAUGAGGAGGAGAAAAAAGCGACCUUACCCUUCCCUCUCCCAUAUGCUUCAACUUUCAUGUCUGUUUUGCCCUGUAUUUCAUUAACAUUAUGAUUAAUGAAAGCUCUCCUGAAUUUCAAAUACCUUGAAAAGUAGCCAGUGCCUGCUCUUCCGAGGCCACGUUGAAGAUAAAUAACAAUAAAAACAGGGUGAUCCAGGCUUUUGAAGUCUUUAAAGACAACCGUCACUGUGAUCUUUGUACCACUUUUGCAGAAAGGAGAACAUUUCACAUUUCUGGCGCUACUAAGGACAGCACAGCAACUGAAAGAAAGCGUGAAUUUCUGGGAGCAGCAUCAGGACACAGGACUCCUGCUGAGCUCACCAGCUCCUUGCUUCGCACAGCUGCCUUCUCAGCUGGGGGUUUCAAAUCAGCACUGUGAGGAAAGACAGAAAUGACCAUGGUGCAUUUGCCUCACUAUGAGAAAAAGAGUAACAUGCAGUCCAUGAACUGGAGAGCUGACCUGAUACUUAAAAAUGAGGGUUUCUUGCUUUCUCUGAAGCAACAUAGCAUCUCUGGGUGGUAUUCGAGGAUAAAGCAAACAGAGAUGCCUUUUCUUUACAUGCUGGAAACAGUCAUCCUUGUUGCCAAGGAAACAUCUUCAGGCGGCAAGGGUCACCUUUGGAAUCAAACGGAAGACUUCAAAAGCAGAGCAAUAGGAAACACCAAGACCUGAACUUCCUGGCAAAUGGCUCCUGUUUUAAAUGUUAUUUUCCAACAAACACUUAUGUGAUUAUUAUGUACUGGGAAAUAGGAAGGCUAAAUUAAAUGUGUACCAAGUCUGGUCCAGUAUUUGCAAGCUUGGAAGCCUGUGGUUUUUGGUAGAGAUGUUUUGAAAGGAGGAGUGAGUAGGAUUCAUAUCUUAGACAAUGGACAGACAUUUGGAUUUGGAAAAAUAGAGCUGUGUUUGAGACUUCAUUCAAAGAAAGUUUCUACUCAUUAAGAAAAUGUAGAUUCUUUAUACAUGCAAGCACAUUUGAUUAUACUUUGUCUAAAUUAGUGAGGUUAUUAUUUUACUUUCUAAGAAUGUUUUGUCAUAUGUUAGUUUUGUGCAGAUUUUGUGUUAAUAAUGUACAAUUGUGUUCAUUAAUUUAUUCUUCUAUCAAAUAUUUAUGAGUUCCUCCUCUGAGUCAGACACUAUUCUCAUGAUGAGAAAGGAAUAGAAUAUAGUCCCUAUAUUUAAGGUCUGUGGGACUCAGAAGAUAGAUGUAGAAAUAAACAAUGGAAUUACUUGCA
rnacentral:lncRNA from 1 species